rnacentral:rRNA from 1 species
AUUGAACGCUGGCGGCAUGCCUUACACAUGCAAGUCGAACGGUAACAGGUCUUCGGAUGCUGACGAGUGGCGAACGGGUGAGUAAUACAUCGGAACGUGCCUAGUAGUGGGGGAUAACUACUCGAAAGAGUGGCUAAUACCGCAUGAGAUCUACGGAUGAAAGCAGGGGAUCGAAAGACCUUGUGCUACCAGAGCGGCCGAUGGCAGAUUAGGUAGUUGGUGGGAUAAAAGCUUACCAAGUCGACGAUCUGUAGCUGGUCUGAGAGGACGAUCAGCCACACUGGGACUGAGACACGGCCCAGACUCCUACGGGAGGCAGCAGUGGGGAAUUUUGGACAAUGGGCGAAAGCCUGAUCCAGCAAUGCCGCGUGCAGGAUGAAGGCCUUCGGGUUGUAAACUGCUUUUGUACGGAACGAAAAGCCCUGGGUUAAUACCCUGGGGUCAUGACGGUACCGUAAGAAUAAGCACCGGCUAACUACGUGCCAGCCGCCGCAGUAAUAC